AUCUUCAUUAGCUUGCUUUUGAAGAUCAGCGGCGGACGGGUGAGUAACACGUGGGCAACCUGCCUGUAAGACUGGGAUAACUUCGGGAAACCGGAGCUAUACCGGAUAAUCCUUUUCCUCACAUGAGGGAAAGCUGAAAGACGGUUUCGGCUGUCACUUACAGAUGGGCCCGCGGCGCAUUAGCUAGUUGGUGAGGUAACGGCUCACCAAGGCAACGAUGCGUAGCCGACCUGAGAGGGUGAUCGGCCACACUGGGACUGAGACACGGCCCAGACUCCUACGGGAGGCAGCAGUAGGGAAUCUUCCGCAAUGGACGAAAGUCCUGACGGAGCAACGCCCGCGUGAGCGAUGAAGGCCUUUCGGGUCGUAAAGCUCUGUUGUCAGGGAAGAACAAGUAUCGGAGUAACUGCCGGUACCUUGACGGUACCUGACCAGAAAGCCACGGCUAACUACGUGCCAGCAGCCGCGGUAAUACGUAGGUGGCAAGCGUUGUCCGGAAUUAUUGGGCGUAAAGCGCGCGCAGGCGGUUCCUUAAGUCUGAUGUGAAAGCCCCCGGCUCAACCGGGGAGGGUCAUUGGAAACUGGGGAACUUG
rnacentral:rRNA from 1 species